GGAUCACCUCCUUAAUCGACGACAUCAGCUGCUCCAUAAGUUCCCACACGAAUUGCUUGAUUCAUUGAAGAAGACGAAAGAAGCAGCCCGAAAUUGGGUCUGUAGCUCAGUUGGUUAGAGCGCACCCCUGAUAAGGGUGAGGUCGGCAGUUCGAAUCUGCCCAGACCCACCAAUUUUGUGUGGGAAACGCCUGUAGAAAUACGGGGCCAUAGCUCAGCUGGGAGAGCGCCUGCCUUGCACGCAGGAGGUCAGCGGUUCGAUCCCGCUUGGCUCCACCACUACUGCUUCUGUCUGUAUAAAGCUUAGAAAUGAGCAUUCCAUCAAUCCGAUGGUGAAUGUUGAUUUCUAGUCUUUGACUAGUUCGUUCUUUAAAAAUUUGGGUAUGUGAUAGAAAGAUAGACUGAACGUUACUUUCACUGGUAACGGAUCAGGCUAAGGUAAAAUUUGUGAGUUACUCAAAUUGAGUAUUAUCGAAUUUUCGGCGAAUGUGGUCUUCACAGUAUAACCAGAUGAAGCGGUAUA
rnacentral:tRNA from 1 species